UCAUAUUAAACUAGAUGAUAUUAGUGAAUUAACCCAACUAGAAUCACAUCAAUUGAAGUCUAGAACUCAAGAUAUGAAAAUAACAAGCAUGUUAUGUUAGAAUAUGACAAGAACUAAUUAAGACUAGAUUUUGUGAUUAAGAAAAAAAAUUCUUAAAAGAUAAAUCAAUGAAACUUUUUAGAUCAAGUGGGUUCGUACUGAUGGACCGAGAGCGGUGAAGGGAGAGCACUGAGUCUUAAAUGAGAGACUAGAGAAGUCGGAUGACCGCUACAGUGGCUAACACUUGGGGUUAUCAAUAGGCGCAAGGAUAUGGCAUAGAGGAUCAUGUUGCCACGCUUUUGAGGAUCGACGGGUCACGUGUCCAGGAUAUGGGGGGACGUGUAUAGAAUACGCUUCUUGUAGAGGAGGUUUGGUGGUUAAACCUCAAAACCACAUGGCGAUGGUUUUUAGGGUUUGGCCUCAAAACCUAGCAGCGUGGUUUUGGAGGGAAUCGAAGGUGAUACGUGAAACCACCGUAAAGCAACUUUGCGAAGGAAGGGUGGUAAUCAGGUCAUCGAAUUAAGAGUUGAUUCAUUUCGUCCCUUGCUAAAUAGAUAAGUUCCAUGUAUCUAAGGGUAAUUUAGGAAUGUGAAAAAAAAUCUAUAUAAAUAAGAGGAAGGGCUGCACUAAUCAGCCAUCUCUUUAUUUUGUGGUUUGCACUUCCAUUUUCCCUUUGUUAGCGAUAUCCUUAGCAGUUUUGACACUUGCUUCUAUGCAUUUUUUUAUUUGGGAAGCAUGGCCUUGACCACACUAUGACCUCUUUAUUUUAUUUCGAUCCAAAUUAUGUUUUCUUUGGAGAUUUUGAUUUGUCUUCUCUUCUCAAACACUUUUGUUUGGACCUUUGAAGUGAGUUUGUGAAAUAUGAGUUUGAGAUGAAUUUUUGGGUAGAUAACUUCUGGUAUGGGUUGAUUCAAUUUGUAAAAUAAGUUUCUACUGUUUUGUACUUUUGAGAAAAGCCCAACUCCAAUUUGAGUUUUGUGACAUGAUUCUCAAGUUUUGAUAUUUUGGUGCUCAAACUCAUGGAACCUUUUUAUUUUCUCUAUGUCUCACUGUGCACCAAGUUUCAUCACAAUCAAAGUAUUUUUGCUCGAGCGGCACUAUCAGACGGAGGAGCGACACUGUCGCUCCGUACAAUGGGAUUCUCGGUUGGUUCUUUCUUAGACUUUUGGCGUAGAUGUUGGGCGAUGAACAACGUUGAAGGGUUGAUGGAGAAGAGGUACGACGGUUUAGGGAUGACUAAGCCACGUCACUGACCACCAAAGUCAGGAGGUGGUGGCCCGCAGCUGGAAGGUGACGUUGGAUGGGAGUCGAGCAUCGAGUCAGGUGGGUGGCCUCUGUAUAUAAAAGGAAAUGAUCCAAUCAUAGAAGCAAUGACAUUUGUGUAACGUUUUGGAAAUAUUGGAUAAGGAACCCGAGAAUCUAGGGUGGAGGAGAUUCGAGAUUAACUAAAUUUUUUUUAAGGUUUUCAAGAAUUAACUUACCUUAUGUACUCGAUUGGUCGAUAUUUCAUAUUUGUUAUCGUGGAUCUGGCAUAGAAAGCUAAAGUAAAGGAUCCAUAAGCAAGAUUCUAAAUCUCUCACUAUGGACAUUGUUAUCUUUAGAUAUAGCUGUUAAUAAAGGCUAAAACUAUUUAGCCACUAUAACCUGAUUUAACCCGCACUAUUAGCUAUGCAAUUAGCUGUUUGAGAAGUAAAACACUGUAUGAAAAGCCUGAUGUGACCAAGACAACGAUAUCGGCAUAGACAUUGUUAUCUUUAUGUUUUUUAUGUCGAAGUAGUGGCAACAAGGAUAUCAGGAUGAGCGUCGGUGUCAAAAAUCAACCGCGGCUUCAACAACGAUAUCGAUGUAGAGCUUAACGUGCUACCGUAUUAUGUAUGAAUCAAAGCACCGACGGCUCAGAUUUUUUUUUUUUUUUACUCUUUGUCUCUUGUGAUCAAGACAGUAGAUGAAAAUAGAUAGAGGGACUAUAAUCAGCUAAUCAAGUUGACCAGAACAAGUUUUGCUUGGAUCAGGAUCACGUCGUCCACUAACAUAUAGUGCCGAUGGAAGGAAAACCACUUCCCGCCCCCGGACUGGAAGCCAACCGAAGCAAGAAAGAGGAGAAACGUAGCAAGAAACCAACUACGAACCCAACAACCAGAGCUCAAAAUCCAAUUUUUUUUUUUUAAAAAAAAAACUCCCAGCAGAAGAACAACCAAGAAGCCAAGAACCUGUGACGCGAGCCAUGGACUCUGGUCCGGUGCCCACGCGCCCAACAGGAGGUUCCGCAGCGGUGGCUUCGUCGUCUUCAUCACUCAUCUUUCUGGGCACCGGCUGCUCCGGCGCGCUCCCCGACGCGCGAUGCCUCAUCCAGCCGUCGGAGCCUCCGUGCACCGUCUGCUCCACGGCCCUCUCCCUGCCGCCGGACCGGAACCCCAACUACAGGUGCAACACCUCCCUCCUGGUAGAUUACUGCCACGACGAUGGAGCUCACAGGUAUAUCCUGAUCGAUGUCGGCAAGACCUUCAGAGAGCAAGUCCUCCGGUGGUUCGUGCACCACGAAGUCCCGUCCAUUGACUCGGUUAUUCUCACGCACGAGCACGCAGAUGCUGUCUUAGGCCUCGAUGAUCUCUGGGUGGCACUACCGAGCUGUCAGAGAAACGGUAGUGCCAAAGUUCCGGUUUUUCUCACCCAAUUCACAAUGGACAGUGUGGCCGCAAGAUUCCCCAACUUGGUUGAACAGAAGCUGCAGGGAGGUGAUGACUUCGCCAGACCUGCUCAGCUCCAUUGGACGAUAAUCGAGGGUGAUGUUGACAAGCCAUUUGUAGCAUCGGAGCUUCAGUUUUGGCCGUUGCCCGUCAUGCAUGGAGAGGACUAUGUCUGUUUAGGCUUCUUGUUCGGGAGGAAAGCGAGAGUUGCAUACUUGUCUGAUGUCUCAAGAAUUCUACCUAGAACUGAGCACGCGAUUUCGAAGUCUGGUACCGCCACCGGACAAGGGCAGCUAGAUCUACUCAUACUAGAAACAAACAGGUUGCAUGGGGCGAUUUAAUGCUCUAUGAACAGGGAGACGGUCGCAGUUGCCAUUUGACUCUGAGCCAGAGCCUUGACGCUGUCAAGAGGAUACGCCCUAAACGAGCUCUGCUGAUUGGGAUGAACCACGAGUUUGAACAUCACAGAGAAAACCAGCUGUUAGCAAGAUGGUCAUGCAGGGAAAGAAUACCAGUGCAGCUAGCUCAUGACGGCCUGCGUGUCUUCAUUGAUCUGUGAUAACGCAGUGUUUUAGCAACACUUUGAUGCCAACUUAGCUGUUCGGUACUAGUGGGAAGUCCACCGGUGCAUAUUAAUUACUCAGUGAUCACUUUGACAAUUUGCUAGAGUCCAUUGAAAUCAAGGCUGUAUUUGUCUUUAUCUGCGGCCGCAAGGAUUGUGUAACAUUCAGACAGUUGGGUUCAGGGUUCUUGAUUGGCUUUGUACAACUCCACCUGAAAAAGGCUAAUAUUUUGCUCUAACUAGGGUUGGUAA